CAUUGUGUCCUGUUUUUGAAGCUCUGUGCAUGCGCAGAAGGUCCUGCGCAUGUGUGGACGUGGCGGGUGCAGUCACAUUUGUGAACUGGUAUCAAAGUUUCAUAUAACCCACUGACUGCAAUGAAGUAUGUCCAACAGAGGAGGUGUUAAAGUUGCUAAUCUGGAUUAAACAUUGGAAGAUAGAGGAAAUCAGAUCCCCAGGGGUUCCCCCUCAUCGUUACCGGCCUCUGUUUCCUCCUCAAUUUGGCUGGGGUCCAGAGGCACAUCAGCAACUGUCAGUUCUUGCUGACUCACCAGUGAAGACAGCCCCUCCAGCACAUAGCUUGUGAUAGCUCUCUCCUCCUCCAUAUCAUCCUCCAACUCAGCAUGCGAAGAUAAAUCAGCCUCCGGGGCCGGGGUCACA